GACGAACGCUGGCGGCGUGCUUAACACAUGCAAGUCGAACGAUGAACUUGGAGCUUGCUCUGGGGGAUUAGUGGCGAACGGGUGAGUAACACGUGAGUAACCUGCCCUGGGCUCUGGGAUAACUUCGAGAAAUCGGAGCUAAUACCGGAUAGGACCUUGCACCGCAUGGUGUGGGGUGGAAAGUUUUUCGGUUUGGGACGGACUCGCGGCCUAUCAGCUUGUUGGUGAGGUAAUGGCUCACCAAGGCGUCGACGGGUAGCCGGCCUGAGAGGGUGACCGGCCACACUGGGACUGAGACACGGCCCAGACUCCUACGGGAGGCAGCAGUGGGGAAUAUUGCACAAUGGGCGCAAGCCUGAUGCAGCAACGCCGCGUGCGGGAUGACGGCCUUCGGGUUGUAAACCGCUUUUAGUAGGGAAGAAGCCUUCGGGUGACGGUACCUGCAGAAAAAGGACCGGCUAACUACGUGCCAGCCGCCGCGGUAAGAC
rnacentral:rRNA from 1 species